CCUACGGGUGGCAGCAGUGAGGAAUAUUGGUCAAUGGACGAGAGUCUGAACCAGCCAAGUAGCGUGAAGGAUGACUGCCCUAUGGGUUGUAAACCUCUUUUAUAUGGGAAUAAAACGCUCCACGUGUGGGACUUUGUAUGUACCAUAUGAAUAAGGAACGGCUAACUCCGUGCCAGCAGCCGCGGUAAUACGGAGGGUCCGAGCGUUAACCGGGUUUAUUGGGGUUAAAGGGAGCGUAGGGGGGUUGUUAAGUCCGUUGGGAAAGUUUGCGGCUCAACCGUAAAAUUGCAGUUGAAACUGGCGGUCUUGAGUACAGUAGAGGUAUGCGGAAUUCGUGGUGUAGCGGUGAAAUGCUUAGAUAUCACGAAGAACCCCGAUUGCGAAGGCAGUUCACUGGACUGCAACUGACACUGAGGCUCGAAAGUGUGGGUAUCGAACAGGAUUAGAUACCCCGGUAGUC
rnacentral:rRNA from 1 species